rnacentral:rRNA from 1 species
AUGACGUUAGAACAGAAGUUUAAUUCCCACCUUGUUCCUGAGCAACAUAGUGUUCGACUAGUUACUAGUGAGUUUAAGGACUUUGCUAUUAUUUGGUGGAAUGGGCUAGCUGGACAGGGUGCUUUACCUGAUACAUGGGAACGACUUAAGGUAGCUAUGCGUGAUCGUUUUGUUCCUCCUUCGUAUCAUAGAGAUUUGCGUAACAAACUGCAGCGUUUAGAACAAGGAGAAAAAUUUGUACAAGUUUACUAUGCUGAGCUUCAAAAGGGUUUGAUGCGUUGUGGUAUAGUGGAGGGGCUUGAGGAUUCUAUUUGUCGUUUUUAUUCGGGUUUGAGGCGUGAUGUUCAGGACAUUGUUGAUUAUAAAGAAUUUCAUACUGUCAACCAGUUGUUCCAGUUUGCUAUGCUUGCAGAGAAGGAAUUGCAGGGACGUGAGCAGCGGAACAAGAGAAACGUCCAUGCCUCCUACACGCCACGCACGACGGCUCCUUCGAGGCUGCCUAAGCCAUCCUCUUUUCGGGUGCCCCUAACAGCGGACCAGCAAGCUUCUGCCUCAGCCAGUCGUGUUACUACAACGCCUACACAACCUUCUGCACGUCCUACCUAUUCAGGUAAAAAUUCUUUGCAGGUUCCCACCAAUAGUGCUUCGUCCGUCGCCUCGACGGGACGCACUUCCAGCAUUCAGUGCCAUCGCUGCCAAGGACGUGGCCAUAUGCAGAAGGAUUGCCCAAGUCAGCGGGCAUAUGUGGCAACCGAAGAUGGAGGUUAUAUCAGCACCUCCGAUGUGGAGGAUGAUGCUAAUGAUGAUGAUGCCACCACCGACGACGAUGAUGAGGGUCAUGUCCUUGGGGGCGCCGAUACUUCAGGCUACAUGAACAUUAUUGUUCAGCGUGUGCUCAACACACAAAUUCAGCAACCUGAGAAGCUACAAUGCCACAAUUUGUUUCAGAUUUUCUUCAUUAUCAAGAACCGACGAGCACGUGUUAUCAUUGAUGGAGGAAGCUGCAACAAUUUGGUGAGUUCUGAUCUGGUCAAGAAGCUUUGUUUGACCACACGACCACACCCACAUCCAUACCAUAUUCAGUGGUUAAAUGACUCUGGAAAAGCUAAGGUAACACAAACAUGUAGAGUUCCUUUUUCGAUUGGUGCCUAUGCUGAUUCUGUUGAUUGUGAUGUCGUACCUAUGCAAGCUUGUUUAUUUUUGUUGGGUCGGCCUUGGGAACAUGAUAAUGAUGCUACACACCAUGGAAGAAGUAAUAAAUACACUUUUGUGCAUAAAGGGCAGAAAAUUACUUUGGUACCUUUGACCCCUGCUGAAAUUGUACAAGCUGAUAGAGAGAGAGAACUGCUAGUUCAAGUGAUGCUAAAUCUGAAAAUUAGCAAGUUGCUAAUUCUGUUUUUCCACCUAAAAAAGAUAAGCUUGCACCUAUUUCUAAGGCCGAGGAAAUUAAAUUGA